rfam:Strongylocentrotus purpuratus Contig66910_fixed, whole genome shotgun sequence.
GCCUCCGUGGCCUAAUGGAUAAGGCAUCGGUCUCCUAAACCGGGGAUUGUGGGUUCGAGUCCCACCGGAGGUG